rnacentral:rRNA from 1 species
AGAGUUUGAUCCUGGCUCAGAUUGAACGCUGGCGGCAUGCCUUACACAUGCAAGUCGAACGGUAACAGGUUAAGCUGACGAGUGGCGAACGGGUGAGUAAUGUAUCGGAACGUGCCCAGUCGUGGGGGAUAACUACUCGAAAGAGUGGCUAAUACCGCAUGAGACCUGAGGGUGAAAGCGGGGGAUCGCAAGACCUCGCGCGAUUGGAGCGGCCGAUAUCAGAUUAGCUAGUUGGCGGGGUAAAAGCCCACCAAGGCGACGAUCUGUAGCUGGUCUGAGAGGACGACCAGCCACACUGGGACUGAGACACGGCCCAGACUCCUACGGGAGGCAGCAGUGGGGAAUUUUGGACAAUGGACGAAAGUCUGAUCCAGCCAUGCCGCGUGCGGGAAGAAGGCCUUCGGGUUGUAAACCGCUUUUGUCAGGGAAGAAACGACGUCCUCUAAUACAGGGUGUUAAUGACGGUACCUGAAGAAUAAGCACCGGCUAACUACGUGCCAGCAGCCGCGGUAAUACGUAGGGUGCAAGCGUUAAUCGGAAUUACUGGGCGUAAAGCGUGCGCAGGCGGUUAUGCAAGACAGAUGUGAAAUCCCCGGGCUCAACCUGGGAACUGCAUUUGUGACUGCAUGGCUAGAGUACGGUAGAGGGGGAUGGAAUUCCGCGUGUAGCAGUGAAAUGCGUAGAUAUGCGGAGGAACACCGAUGGCGAAGGCAAUCCCCUGGACCUGUACUGACGCUCAUGCACGAAAGCGUGGGGAGCAAACAGGAUUAGAUACCCUGGUAGUCCACGCCCUAAACGAUGUCAACUGGUUGUUGGGAGGGUUUCUUCUCAGUAACGUAGCUAACGCGUGAAGUUGACCGCCUGGGGAGUACGGCCGCAAGGUUGGAACUCAAAGGAAUUGACGGGGACCCGCACAAGCGGUGGAUGAUGUGGUUUAAUUCGAUGCAACGCGAAAAACCUUACCUACCCUUGACAUGUCUGGAAUCCUGAAGAGAUUUGGGAGUGCUCGAAAGAGAGCCAGAACACAGGUGCUGCAUGGCCGUCGUCAGCUCGUGUCGUGAGAUGUUGGGUUAAGUCCCGCAACGAGCGCAACCCUUGUCAUUAGUUGCUACGAAAGGGCACUCUAAUGAGACUGCCGGUGACAAACCGGAGGAAGGUGGGGAUGACGUCAGGUCAUCAUGGCCCUUAUGGGUAGGGCUACACACGUCAUACAAUGGCCGGUACAGAGGGCUGCCAACCCGCGAGGGGGAGCCAAUCCCAGAAAACCGGUCGUAGUCCGGAUCGUAGUCUGCAACUCGACUGCGUGAAGUCGGAAUCGCUAGUAAUCGCGGAUCAGCUUGCCGCGGUGAAUACGUUCCCGGGUCUUGUACACACCGCCCGUCACACCAUGGGAGCGGGUUCUGCCAGAAGUAGUUAGCCUAACCGCAAGGGGGGCGAUUACCACGGCAGGGUUCGUGACUGGGGUGAAGUCGUAACAAGGUA